rnacentral:rRNA from 1 species
AACGUAGGACGCAAACGUUAUCCGGAAUUACUGGGCGUAAAGAGCGUGUAGGCGGUCUGUUAAGUCAACCGUGAAAGCUCCCGGCUAAACUGGGAGAGGUCGGCUGAUACUGAGAGACUAGAGGGUGUUAGAGGGAUGCGGAAUUCCGGGUGUAGUGGUGAAAUGCGUAGAGAUCCGGAGGAACACCAGAGGCGAAGGCGGCAUCCUGGGACAUUCCUGACGCUGAGACGCGAAAGCAUGGGGAGCGAACGGG